CAAACAUUGUCUUGAAAAUGUCCAGCUUCCCAGAGAACGUGUCCAGCUUUCCAAACAAUGUCUCAGAGAACGUGUCCAGCUUUCCAAACAAUGUCUCAAAGAACGUAUCUAGCUUCCCAGAGAACGUGUCCAGCUUUCCAAACAAUGUCUCAAAGAACAUAUCCAGCUUUCUAAAGGAUGUCUCAAAGAAAGUAUCAGACUUUUUAAACUAUGUCUCAAAGACAACAUCCAGCUUUUUAAAUGAUGUCUCAACGACCGCAUCCGGCUUUCUAAAUAUCUCAAAGUAAGGGGCCAGAGGCUCAUCCAACGCGAGUGACGCCAUCAUUUGGAUUGUGAUUGCAUGGGUUUUAAAUGUAAGGCUCAAUAAAAUGGUAUCUUAACUG